GAGGCUCACCAGGGGGGUCCCGACAAGGGGCUGAGAUACUGCUGAACGCGCAGUGACCCGUUGAACCUGAUCCAGUUCAUACUGGCGUAGGGACGGUGGGAAGCUUCGCGG
rnacentral:ncRNA from 2 species